GCCUACAUUCACAAUUAUUUCUAUUAAUGUAGUGUUUUUCUAGAAAUGUAUAACCUAGCAGAAUACAUCUUAGUGCUUUGAUGCUUGUCUGUGGUUGUGAUUGUUUUAUCACUCAUAUGUUAAAAUAAUAUUCUAAAACAAAACCUUUGGUGAUGUCACAUUGCCUCACACAGCACAUUGGAUGUCGGAUGGUGAUGUCAUAGUGCUUCACACAGCACAUUGGAUGUCUGAUGGUGAUGUCAUAGUGCUUCACACAGCCAUAAAAUGUCUGAUGGCGAGAUCAUAUAACCUCACAGCACAUUGGAUCUCUAAUGGUGAUGUCAUAUUACCCAACACAGCCAUCCAAUGGCUGAAGGUGAUGUCAGCAUGACCCAGUCAGUCUUCUAAUGACUACUGGUGAAGCCACAGCUAUCAAAUAUCAAAUCAUCAAAUUCACAAUAGAUCUUUGAAGUUGUCAUGGUGUAUGAGUGCCCUUUUAAAGGGAACUCAUAGCAACUUCAGUAGUGUCAUUCAGUCAUUCAAUAGUUGUGAGGACAUGGUUUUUACUAGUGUUCCCCAACCCAGUCCUAAUGGACCACUAACGUUUAUGUAUUUCCCUUUUUUAUUCCAAUGGAGAUACUGACAAACCUGGACUGUUGGUGGUCCAUGAGGACUGGGUUGGAGAUUACAUGGUAUACAUUACACCAAAAACUGGAUUAUGAACUGCUUUCUAUAGACCGAGGUUUGCUAAUAUUUUUAGAUAAAAUACAGCAAAUGGCCACAUAAAAUCUGUUGGUUUUUGGAGUUACUUGAUAUUAUGCACAGCUAUCCGCUAUCAGGUUAUUCACUAAAGGGGAAGUUACUUCAACUGUAGGGUCAAAGUAGCUGAACUGGAAAAAAUCUCUAAGCCAGCUAUGCUUUCCAUUUAGCUGCUCUGGCCAUAAAUUUGAAAUUUCCUUUGAAUUCACCUUGAAUUCUCACUUUAGAGAAAGGCACAAUGGGCUGUUGUGGAAUUGCCAUAGUCUAUCCCAUUGCACAAAACUCAAAACUUAAAGUCCUAUACCACUAGCCAGGCUUAAAAAUAACUCACCACUACAAGCCCAGAGAGUCCGUGACACAAUCACAAGUAAUAUAUUUCUACUUGUCAGGGCUGAAUUGACACUAGCCAAGACUGGUGUGAGCAGAUAUCUCAAGCCUUGGUCUAGAUUCUAGACCAAUUGUGUAACGUUAGUGAGAAUUCCUUUAUGAUGUAGUGUGCAGCUCACCAUCAUUUUCUUGAUAAUGAAACAUUUUGACAUGCAUUGCUACUUUCAAACUCCUGUAUUUAUUUCACCUGAAUAUAAGACUGUGUAGUUUCAUGUACUCUACAAAAUUACUUUUACUUUACAUUUUACUUUCAAUAUAUGAACAGCAUAUCAGUUGUAAAAUGUAUCAUUCUGGUGACAUUUGGUGAAUUUGUUAUCUCCAUAAAUUAAAUUGCCUUUUUAACACAACAAGCAGAUAGCAAUGCAUAGAAUGACACUUUAUUUUGUGAAAAGAUACCAUUUUAUAUUUUGAAUUUACUUAAGUUUACACUGUAUAUUGUGUGCUUUUAUUUCCACAUUCUCUUUUGAAAGACAAUACGCAAGAAGUUAUUUAACCAAUGUCAUUCAAUGUCACUUAAAACAGGAAAGGAAAUAGUUAAUUGAAGAUGCAAAAAACAAUUUUCAAAUGUUACACAUAUGUACCUCAUAAUUCUAAAUGGCAUUUACUCCAACCUAGGGCAAAUGUAAUAAUAAUGUCUGUAAACCGUUAACUGGUGAUCUGUGUGUUUUCAGUGUGUUCUUGGUUAAUGAAAGGCAAUGAAAAAGGAAAAAGAUGAGAUUAGAUUGUAAAGAUAACAGUACUAUUUAUGGCUAUUUACCUGUGCUAAAAUGUGUGAUGCAAUAAUGGAAACAACUUUAUUCAUUAAUGAACAUCUUACAAAUUUCUAAGACUUUUUACUGUGUGCGUGUCCCUUCUAGGCCUCUUACAAUUUGGCAAGAAGAAAAAAUAAAGUAUCGCAAAAGAUAAGUGCUUCUAGCCUCCAAACUCUGCUUUACCUGCAUAUCUGUAAGAUUCACCUUGAAUGUCAGGUACAAGCAGUCAGAUGGAACUAUACCACCCUACUGCUUCUCUAGAGUUAGUGCUCGAGUAAAGAGAGUUGAGGAUGCUGCACAAAGUUACAGUGCCUGAUUGGCCACUUAGUUGGCCGCCAUGUUGCAUACUAUGCAAAAUAUUGAGAUUAAACCAUCUGUAUUAAUACAUCUGGUAUUCCCAGGAAAGUAAGACCCAGUAUUGUCUAACACACUCUUGUACUUUUCUUGUAAUUCCUCUGUACCACCAAUAUUGCAAGAAAUGAAACAACAUUUUAUUCUGGAAAAAAGUAAAAUAUUGCAAAUGUUUUAAAUUAAAAAGUUUUUUUUUCACAA